rnacentral:lncRNA from 1 species
GAUUUUUGUCAACUUAUGAUUAAUUUUAACACAAUUUUUUCAUUUUUUUCCAGUACACAACUCCCACCCACAAUAUAUCAUUUGUCAUACCGCACGCUACAACUUUUAGGGGCGUCAUAUUCAUUUUUUUCCUUCUUAAUUUCACACUCCUUAAUCUUAUUAAUUUUUACAGCUAAAGCACCUAAAAGCUUUGGACCAACUAAAGAUCAAACCAAAGAGAGAGGAACAAGCAACAUAUGAAGCUGUCAAAGAACAAAAGCUAUUGGCUCAAUAGGGCUGACUAAGGUUAUGCACAAUGGUAGAUCAAAGAGAGUAUGAAACAUGGUUGUUAAUAAAAUGCCUAUAUAAUUUGAUAAAUCCACACUUUUUAUUUCGCUUUGCACGCACACCAGAAAAGUUUUAGACAUCAAAUGCAAUAAGAAAUUCACAAAAAUCCUUGCACACACAUGGAAUAUGUUCAACUCAAGUGAGAUCAUCAUAGACUAUCAACCAAACAAUAGAAUGAAUUCAAUAUUAAGCCAAUAACGUAUGAGAGUCAUAAACUAGAGCUAGGAGUCUCAAAAGUAGUAUUUCACAUAUACAACAUACUUUUACACACAAAAAUCGAUUGCAACAUGCAAUCACACAUAACACCAACCAGAACAUCUCACUUAUCCUAACACGAAAAAUUUAAAAUUUACUCCUAAAAAGAAAAAAAAUAUUGGAUUCAAAGGGCGCCUCCGUUUAAAAGAAACAAAAAGAACAAUCACAAGGUGGGUGAAGUGUGCACUUACUAAAUUGACCCCAACAAACUAAAAACUAACAAAGAUAAAAUCCUUUAGUAAUUUUUAAAUUUUUUCCACAUUUAACCCAAAAACUUAGAAAACAACUAACAAUUAAGACCAUAUAAUAUCACUUCACCCGAAACCAUGGAAAUUUCCACACUCCACACCUAAAAACUUACUUUUUCUCCAAAUUAAACUUAUAAGUCAGGAUAUAAAUACUCGUUGAGUCCUAUAGGCCUAGAUAGAAGCAUCUUUAUACAUCAAGAGGGUCUGGAGACCCCACAC